GCCCCCUGGAUGCUAGCUGCUGGGGACACAGCAUCUCUGAUGGCCCUGGCUUCUCAGUGGGCCCAGGCUCAGUGCUCCAUGCCCAUUGUAGGCAUGUCCUUUGCCCUAUAGGACUCCUAUAAGGGCUUCCCAUUUUACAUUAGCCCCACCUCCACCACGGCAUGUAGCUGCUUAGCAACCAAAGCCAACAAACAUCAACCUUUAACUUCCUGAAUUUGCAGUUGCCAAGAGGCAGUCUCCAACCUGCCUCCUGUAGGCAGCUGGCUACCCAGAGCCAUCCCUGUGCCAGCCUUCUCCCCAUGGUCGGGGGCACCGAGCUCUGCGCCAGGAAUGGCUUAAAUCUUUAUGUGGAUGAUUGCAUUGAGUCCUACAUCUGUUUGUUUGAAUUACACUUAUUUAUUUGUGUGUGUGUGUGUGUGUGUGUGUGUGUGUGCACGUGCUCACACAGGUGGCAAUGCUCACACUCAUAUAGAGGCCAGAGGAGCACAGUGGAUAGCUUUCUUGAUAGCCCUCUGCCUUAUUCCCUUGAGAGAGGGUCCCUGAGGAUCACCUGUCCCCACCCGUCAGCAUUGGAGUUGCAGCCCGACAGCCAUGCCAAGCUGGGAGAGCUGGGGACCCAGUCUCGGGACCUUUGCUUGCUAGGCAAGUGCUCUCACUCCCCGAGUCAUCUCUCUGGCCCCUGAGAACUGCUUUUGAAAUUUGACAGGAAUGCUAAGACCAUUAGACAGGUAAAGGGCAAAGAGAAAGUGUACCAGGAAGUAGGGGGCACCGAAUGGGUCUGAGGAGAGAAAAGGGGUGUGUGAGAGAAAGGGCUCUGAAUGGGGAGCAGUGGAAUCCUCUGAGUUACUUUUCCUGACUCAACCCCCCUCAGCAGCUCCGACCACACAGUCGGCCUCCUCUUCCUGCCCCCUUCACGGGCCUCCCAAUUUCCCUAGGCCCUGUGUUAGGGUCUCCCUGGGCCUCAAGGCCGUAGCUGAAGUCUCAUGGCAGACUCCUCAGCCCUCCCAGCACAGCCUGGCUCCCAGGCCUUCUAGAUCUGGGCUCCUGCGUGCAGCAUGGCUACUUCUGUCUGGGUUAUAGCCACGCUGGUCAUUGGUUCCUUUGACUGCCAGUAAGGCCUUUUAAGUGGCUGUUGCUUCCCGAGAAUGUUCUGUUUCGCAGCUGCCAGCAUGCCCAGGCAUGCUCUCACGGUGGGGCAGAGGGCCAGCGCUGAUAAGACCUCAGCUUAUCUCCCUGAACUCUGUGAACAUAUCCCUGGCCAAAGGAAAUUCAUGGCCGAGGCCAGAGUCCAUAUGGGAGACAGCAGAAAUCAGUAGUACACUCUGAGACAGGGGCAUUAGAGGACUGUGGCCUCGUGACUAGAGAGCUUGGUGGCCUACCAUGAUGACCUAUGGGCCUGUGCUCCAAGUCCCUCCCUCCCACCCAAUAGACCUGCCUCAGCAAGUGUCUCUGUCUGUCAGAUGCCCUUCCGUUUUUGCCCAGAUAGCAUGUCUGGCAUGCUUGCCGUGUGCCGGGCCCAAUUCUAGUCACUGAAUGCCAGCAUACAGUAGCAUUUGUGCUUGUAGCACCUACAUUUUAGAGAUAAUGAUACCAGCCAGAAAACCAAUGUUGGGAAGGGCUACAGAAAAGAAAGAAAGUAAAGAAAGAAAGGAAGGAAGGAAGGAAGAAAGAAAGAAAGAAAGAAAGAAAGAAAGAAAAGGCAAAUGAUGUUCCUUCUUUGAUGAGGUAGACAGGAAAGGGCUUGCUGACAUAUCUGAACUGCUAUGUAACCAAGGAGAGUUGAGCCAAGCUCACAGGUGGGGAAGAAAGUUCCAGGUCAGUGCAAAGUGCCAAAGUCCUGGAGAUGCAACAUGUGUUUGAGCAACAGAUGGUCAGAACAGAGUGAAUGAGAGGUGAAUGGGAGUGUGUUUGCGUGUGCAUGUGUGUUUGCGUGCUGUAGCAUCUGGUGAACUCUAUUCCAAGGGUAAGAAGAGCUGUCAGGAGCAGCCAAUAGGGGCACCACGGAGAGGCACUCUGAGUCUGUCAGAAGGUUCCUGUCUGCAAAGGAAGGAUGGACCGUGGAGGGAAGGGAAGCAGGAGCCCAGUUAGGAAAUGCUGCCAUCACCAAGGUUAAGCUGGGAGGUGGCCAUCAGGAAACACUUUGACUGUUACCCUGGUGGUCGCCCGUGCGGAGGAGGACAGGAGACAGGAAUGGGGUGUGGCUAAUACUGUGAACCUGAACCUGUGCGCCACUAGAACUGCUCCUUGCAGACCUGGUAGGCACUGUUUUAGACCCACUAGUUUGGGGCUGAGGAGAUGAUGGCUCAGUGAUUAAGAGCACUGCCAGCUCUUCCAGAGGUCCUGAGUUCGAGUCCCAGCAAUCACAUGGUAGCUCUCAGCCAUCUAUAGUGGGAUCUGAUGCAAUCUUCUGGUGUGCAGGUGUACAUGCAGAUAGAGCACUCAUGUACAUAAACAUAAAUUUGGGGGGAAAAAAAAGACGGGCAGAUCCACUAAUUCUGCUGAGAGGAGAGGACUCCUAGACCCUAGAGGCAGAGGCUUCCUGGUGAGCGACCACGGGACUGUGGGGAGCCCUUCCGUGGUGUUGGGGAAGCAAGAGAAAGCAGAAUAGCACUCACUGCCUCACAGAUGCGCCCACCACAGGUGCUCAUUCGUCCACACAGAUGCUCAUUCGUCCACUCUUCAAGACCUGAGGGAGCACGGGAGAUAAUAAGCCAGACACUUGCCUGUACUCCGUGGGAAGAGGAGACACCCAAAGACACAGUGUUGCCUUGCCUUCUUGAGACAGUGCCUCCUAGCUUUCUGGAAACACAGCAAGCAGCCUUGCUUUUCUACUUUCCGAUUUGUGUCCUGCCCUUUCGGUCAGGCGACAGCUCCCUCGUGGCAGAGUGGACCGUCGUGACCCUCUGGAGUCUUUGGGAAAGGAUCGUCUUGGAAGAACAGCCUCCCGAAGCAAGGCUUCUCUUGUGAAAACGGCCUGGUUACCAAGCUCUGGGGAUCAGGAAUCUCGGUGGACCGGAAAAGAUCCAGAUGUAAAGCUCUCAGCUACCUCUCCAGCACCAUGUCUGCAGGCAUUCUGUCAUGCUUCCUGCCGUGAUGAUAAUGAACUAAAGCUCUGAACUGUAAGCAAACCCAAUUAAGUGGAUUCCUAGCCAGGUAGUGGUGGCACAUGCCUUUAAUCUCAGCACUCCGGGAGGCAGAGGCAGGUGGAUCCCUGAGUUCUAUAGAUCAGCCUGGUCUGUACAGCAAGUUCCAGGACAGCCAGGGCUACACAAAACAAAAAACAAACAAACAAUAUAUAUAUACACAUAUAUAUAUAUGGGGGGGGAGAAUAAGAGUUGCCAUGGUCAUGGUGUCUCUUCACAGCAAUAGUACACUGACCAACACAGACAUUCAAUGGCCACCACAGCCACCCAAGCCAGUAGCUUCCCAGCUUAUUGUCUCAAGCCCAAGAAGGAAAAGGAAACACAGACAGGAGUGAGUCAAGCAGGUGCACACUUACUGAAAGAACUCCCCGGAGUGGGAAGGGCUUCAGGGGAGAGACUGUUCUGUGCCACCCUGCCCGGUGGCCUUUUAUAGCACUUACAUCGGGAACUGGAUGGACAUUAAGGCCAUCUUUAUUGGGCACAGUCAGCUUUGAACACACAGACAGCAGAGCAGGUAAGGUGUCUCCACGCCUUCCACCUGCUCCCUGGAGAAAUGCUCCUCCACCCAAGGGAGGUGGUUACUGGCGAUAUCUGACAAGGCCUUAUAAGAAUAAGACAGGCUCAGGCAAGAACUGAAAUGGAAGAAAGACAUCAUGCAGAACCCAGGCUCUUAGUUAGGAAGAGCAACUCUUUCUAGGUGUCACCCGUGAGGAGACCGUAUUGUGAAAGCUUUAGAACCCAGAGGUGGGGGUGUGGUGCAGUGAUCGCAUACUUAGAAUGUUCCGGACCUUGAGUUCAAUCCCUUGCAUGAAAAAUAAAAUGAAAGUAAGAAUAAAUAAACAGGAGGCUGAAGAGAUGGCUCAGUGAUUAAAGGUACCUGCUAGUCUUCCAGAGGACUGGAGCUCCGCCUCUGGUACCUAGUACCCAGGACAGGUAGCUCAGAGCUGUAACUCCAGGUCUCAGGGAUCUGACACCCUCUCUGGUCUCUUCAGACAUCAGCGUACACAUCACACAUC